ensembl:misc_RNA Metazoa_SRP Metazoan signal recognition particle RNA
CCUGGGCAUGGUUGCACAUGCCUGUAUUUCCAGCUACUCAGGAGGCUGAGGCAGGAGGAUUGCUUGAGCCCAGAAGUUCUGGGCUGUACUGUGCUAUGCUAAUCAGGUGUCUCCUAAGUUGGGCAUCAAUAUGGUGACCUCCCAGAGUGGGGGACAAUCAGGUUGCCUAAGGAGGGGUGAACUGCCCAGGUCAGAAAAGGAGCAGAUCAAAACGCCCAUGCUGAUCAGUAGUGGAAUCAUGCCUGUGAAUAGCCACUGCAUUCCAGCCUGGGCAAUGUAGCAAGACCCUGUCUUU